GCCGGGCGCAGUGGCUUGUGCCUGUAAUCCCAGCACUUUGGGAGGCUGAGGCAGGUGGAUUACCUGAGGCCAGGAGUUCAAGACCAGCCUGGCCAACAUGGUGAAACCUGUCUCUA
rnacentral:SRP_RNA from 1 species